rnacentral:rRNA from 1 species
CCAAUAGCGUAUAUUAAAGUUGUUGCAGUUAAAAAGCUCGUAGUUGAAUUUCGAGAUCAAAUUGUUGGUCGUGCCUUGGUACGCACUGGCAUUAUUGGUUUCUCCCUUCUGACGAACCAUGAUGUCAUUAAUUUGGUGUCUUGGGGAAUCAGGACUGUUACUUUGAAAAAAUUAGAGUGUUUAAAGCAGGCUCACGCUUGAAUACAUUAGCCUGGAAUAAUGAAAUAGGACGUUUGAUUCUAUUUUGUUGGUUUCUAGGAUCGACGUAAUGAUUAAUAGGGAUAGUUGGGGGCAUUAGUAUUCAAUUGUCAGAGGUGAAAUUCUUGGAUUUAUUGAAGACUAACUACUGCGAAAGCAUUUGCCAAGGAUGUUUUCAUUAAUCAAGAACGAAAGUUAGGGGAUCGAAGACGAUCAGAUACCGUCGUAGUCUUAACCAUAAACUAUGCCGACUAGGGAUCGGAUGAUGUUAAUUUUUUAAUGACUCAUUCGGCGCCUUACG